CUUGAGAGCGGCGGACGGGUGAGUAAUGCCUAGGAAUCUGCCUAGUGGUGGGGGAUAACGUUCGGAAACGGACGCUAAUACCGCAUACGUCCUACGGGAGAAAGCGGGGGAUCUUCGGACCUCGCGCCAUUAGAUGAGCCUAGGUCGGAUUAGCUAGUUGGUGAGGUAAUGGCUCACCAAGGCGACGAUCCGUAACUGGUCUGAGAGGAUGAUCAGUCACACUGGAACUGAGACACGGUCCAGACUCCUACGGGAGGCAGCAGUGGGGAAUAUUGGACAAUGGGCGAAAGCCUGAUCCAGCCAUGCCGCGUGUGUGAAGAAGGUCUUCGGAUUGUAAAGCACUUUAAGUUGGGAGGAAGGGUAGUAACCUAAUACGUUGCUACUUUGACGUUACCGACAGAAUAAGCACCGGCUAACUUCGUGCCAGCAGCCGCGGUAAUACGAAGGGUGCAAGCGUUAAUCGGAAUUACUGGGCGUAAAGCGCGCGUAGGUGGUUCAGUAAGUUGGAAGUGAAAUCCCCGGGCUCAACCUGGGAACUGCUUUCAAAACUGCUGAGCUAGAGUACGGUAGAGGGUGGUGGAAUUUCCUGUGUAGCGGUGAAAUGCGUAGAUAUAGGAAGGAACACCAGUGGCGAAGGCGACCACCUGGACUGAUACUGACACUGAGGUGCGAAAGCGUGGGGAGCAAACAGGAUUAGAUACCCUGGUAGUCCACGCCGUAAACGAUGU
rnacentral:rRNA from 1 species